rnacentral:rRNA from 1 species
UACGUAGGUGGCAAGCGUUGUCCGGAUUUACUGGGCGUAAAGAGCGCGCAGGCGGUCUUUUAAGUCGAAUGUGAAAGCCCCCGGCUCAACUGGGGAGGGUCAUUCGAUACUGAUCGACUUGAAGGCAGGAGAGGGUAGUGGAAUUCCCGGUGUAGUGGUGAAAUGCGUAGAUAUCGGGAAGAACACCCGUGGCGAAGGCGGUUCUCUGGGACGGUACUGACGCUGAGACGCGAAAGCGUGGGGAGCGAACAGG